rnacentral:rRNA from 1 species
AGAAGAAGGACCGGCCAACUACGUGCCAGCAGCCGCGGUAAUACGUAGGGUCCGAGCGUUGUCCGGAAUUACUGGGCGUAAAGAGCUCGUAGGUGGUUUGUCGCGUUGUUCGUGAAAACCGGGGGCUUAACCCUCGGCGUGCGGGCGAUACGGGCAGACUUGAGUACUGCAGGGGAGACUGGAAUUCCUGGUGUAGCGGUGGAAUGCGCAGAUAUCAGGAGGAACACCGGUGGCGAAGGCGGGUCUCUGGGCAGUAACUGACGCUGAGGAGCGAAAGCGUGGGGAGCGAACAGGAUUAGAUACCCUGGUAGUCCACGCCGUAAACGGUGGGUACUAGGUGUGGGUUUCCUUCCUUGGGAUCCGUGCCGUAGCUAACGCAUUAAGUACCCCGCCUGGGGAGUACGGCCGCAAGGCUAAAACUCAAAGAAAUUGACGGGGGCCCGCACAAGCGGCGGAGCAUGUGGAUUAAUUCGAUGCAACGCGAAGAACCUUACCUGGGUUUGACAUGCGCAGGACGCCGGUAGAGAUAUCGGUUCCCUUGUGGCCUGUGUGCAGGUGGUGCAUGGCUGUCGUCAGCUCGUGUCGUGAGAUGUUGGGUUAAGUCCCGCAACGAGCGCAACCCUUGUCUCAUGUUGCCAGCACGUGAUGGUGGGGACUCGUGAGAGACUGCCGGGGUCAACUCGGAGGAAGGUGGGGAUGACGUCAAGUCAUCAUGCCCCUUAUGUCCAGGGCUUCACACAUGCUACAAUGGCCGGUACAAAGGGCUGCGAUGCCGUGAGGUGGAGCGAAUCCUUUCAAAGCCGGUCUCAGUUCGGAUCGGGGUCUGCAACUCGACCCCGGAAGUCGGAGUCG